rnacentral:rRNA from 1 species
UACAGAGGGUGCGAGCGUUGUCCGGAAUCACUGGGCGUAAAGGGCGCGUAGGCGGCCUGGUAAGUAGGGGGUGAAAUCCCGCGGCUCAACCGCGGGGCUGCCUCCUAGACUGCCGGGCUCGAGCAGAGCAGAGGCUAGCGGAAUUCCCGGUGUAGCGGUGGAAUGCGUAGAGAUCGGGAAGAACACCUGUGGCGAAAGCGGCGCACUGGACCACAACUGACGCUGAGGCGCGAAAGCUAGGGGAGCAAACAGG